GAAAUGCGAUAAGUAGUGUGAAUUGCAGAAUUCAGUGAAUCAUCGAAUCUUUGAACGCACAUUGCGCCCCUUGGUAUUCCAUGGGGCAUGCCUGUUCGAGCGUCAUUUGUACCUUCAAGCUCUGCUUGGUGUUGGGUGUUUGUCGAGAUAUAUAUUUCGACUCGCCUUAAAUAUAUUGGCAGCCGGUAUAUUGGCUUAUGAGCGCAGCACAUUUUGCGAUCAUCUCCAGUAGACUAGCCCCCAAUAAGUAAUUUUUUAACGCUUGACCUCGGAUCAGGUAGGGAUACCCGCUGAACUUAA
rnacentral:misc_RNA from 1 species